UGUCCAAUGCGGGAAUCGAACCCGGGUCCUAGUGGUUGAAAACCAAACGGUUUAACCAGCCUUCCACUGUAUAUAAAUCCAACCUGCGGAC
rnacentral:tRNA from 1 species